CACGCCCUAAACGAUGUCAACUAGGUGUUGGGUGGGUAAAACCAUUUAGUACCGGAGCUAACGCGUGAAGUUGACCGCCUGGGGAGUACGGCCGCAAGGUUAAAACUCAAAGGAAUUGACGGGGACCCGCACAAGCGGUGGAUGAUGUGGAUUAAUUCGAUGCAACGCGAAAAACCUUACCUACCCUUGACAUGUCCAGAAGCCCGAAGAGAUUUGGGUGUGCCCGAAAGGGAGCUGGAACACAGGUGC
rnacentral:rRNA from 1 species